rnacentral:rRNA from 1 species
GACGAACGCUGGCGGCGUGCUUAACACAUGCAAGUCGAACGAUGAACCCGGAGCUUGCUCCGGUGGAUUAGUGGCGAACGGGUGAGUAACACGUGAGUAACCUGCCCUUGACUCUGGGGUAACUGCGGGAAACUGUAGCUAAUACCGGAUACGACCCUCGGCGGCAUCGCCAGGGGGUGGAAAGAAUUUCGGUCAAGGAUGGACUCGCGGCCUAUCAGCUAGUUGGUGAGGUAACGGCUCACCAAGGCGACGACGGGUAGCCGGCCUGAGAGGGUGACCGGCCACACUGGGACUGAGACACGGCCCAGACUCCUACGGGAGGCAGCAGUGGGGAAUAUUGCACAAUGGGCGCAAGCCUGAUGCAGCGACGCCGCGUGAGGGAUGACGGCCUUCGGGUUGUAAACCUCUUUCAGCACCGACGAAGCGCAAGUGACGGUAGGUGCAGAAGCAGGACCGGCCAACUACGUGCCAGCAGCCGCGGUAA